UCCGCUCUAAAUAUCCCCCAA
rnacentral:piRNA from 1 species